AAACUUGGCAAUGCGAGAAAUCGUGACCAGGGAACUCCAAGUGGCUGGGGUAAGACCCAGUCUUUUCUUGACUCUUCAAAGGUCUUGGAAUAAGAGGUGGGUAAGGACGGUGCCAGCCGCCGCGGUAAUACCGGCGCCUCAAGUGGUAGUCGAUUUUAUUGGGCCUAAAACGUCCGUAGCCUGUUUGGUACAUUCGUGGGUAAAUCAACCAGCUCAACUGGUUGAAUUCUGCGAGCACGGCCAGACUUGGGACCGGGAGAGGUGUGGGGUACGCUCAGGGUAGGGGUAAAAUCCUGUCAUCCUGAGCGGACCACCUGUUGCGAAGGCGCCACACUAGAACGGAUCCGACGGUCAGGGACGAAGCCUAGGGGCACGAACCGGAUUAGAUACCCGGGUAGUCCUAGGUGUAAACGCUGUGGACUUGGUGUUGGGGAUUCUCCGAGGAUUCUCAGUGCCGAAGCGAAGGUGAUAAGUCCACUGCCUGGGGAGUACGGUCGCAAGGCUGAAACUUAA
rnacentral:rRNA from 1 species